rnacentral:rRNA from 1 species
UGGUGGAGUGAUUUGUCUGCUUAAUUGCGAUAACGAACGAGACCUUAACCUGCUAAAUAGCCCGUAUUGCUUUGGCAGUACGCUGGCUUCUUAGAGGGACUAUCCGCUCAAGCGGAUGGAAGUUUGAGGCAAUAACA